rnacentral:lncRNA from 1 species
UAUCUAAUACUAGUAUCCUUUUCUUAUCUAUGUUUACUUUUAAAAUAUCGAAGAUGUCGAUUUUAUGAGGUGUAUGACGAAAAGAUGAGUUGCAAACGGAAACCGAGAAAAAUGAAAAUGGCAACAAAAGAGGUUCAAGGUUCAAGAGAGUUCUAAACUUAGACCUACUGCUUUGAAAUAUAACGUAGUGGUGCUGAUCGGGCUAACAACUAAAUUGGUGGUUUUUGUUAAUUUAUGGUUGUAAUUACCAAUUAGUUGCAUAAAAUUACACGUUUUCAUACA